UGCCUAUACAUGCAGUCGAGCGAACAGAUAAGGAGCUUGCUCCUUUGACGUUAGCGGCGGACGGGUGAGUAACACGUGGGUAACCUACCUAUAAGACUGGGAUAACUUCGGGAAACCGGAGCUAAUACCGGAUAACAUUUGGAACCGCAUGGUUCUAAAGUGAAAGAUGGUUUUGCUAUCACUUAUAGAUGGACCCGCGCCGUAUUAGCUAGUUGGUAAGGUAACGGCUUACCAAGGCGACGAUACGUAGCCGACCUGAGAGGGUGAUCGGCCACACUGGAACUGAGACACGGUCCAGACUCCUACGGGAGGCAGCAGUAGGGAAUCUUCCGCAAUGGGCGAAAGCCUGACGGAGCAACGCCGCGUGAGUGAUGAAGGGUUUCGGCUCGUAAAACUCUGUUAUUAGGGAAGAACAAACGUGUAAGUAACUGUGCACGUCUUGACGGUACCGAAUCAGAAAGCCCCGGCUAACUACGUGCCAACACCCGCGGUAAUACGGAUGUGGCAAGCGUUAUCCGGAAAUCUUGGGCGUACCAGCGCGCGUAGGGGGGCUCCUAAAUUCCAGAUGUGAAAGCCCCCGGGCUCACGUACGCACGGGGCUUAGUGACUGGGACAUUUGCGUGCA
rnacentral:rRNA from 1 species